UCUUAUGGAUGAGCAAAGAAAGUGAUUUCUUGAGAUGAAAUGUAUUUGUAGUGAAGAUACUGUGAA
rnacentral:pre_miRNA from 1 species